UUAGGUCGACCCGCUGAAUUUAAGCAUAUCANUAAGCGGAGGAAAAGAAACUAACCAGGAUUCCCCUAGUAACGGCGAGUGAAGCGGGAAUAGCCCAGCACCGAAGCCUGCGGCAGUUUUGCUGUUAGGCAAUGUGGUGUUUGGGUCGGCUCGCGGGAUUGCCACUCCACUCAAAGUCCAGCAUUGAGUAUGGUCACUGGAUUUGGCCCAGAGAGGGUGAGAGGCCCGUACGGGUGGAGUAUCAGACAAGUUAGGCAAUUCACCAGGCCGGCCUUAGAGUCGGGUUGCUUGAGAAUGCAGCCCUAAGUGGGUGGUAAACUCCAUCCAAGGCUAAAUACAAGCACGAGUCCGAUAGCGAACAAGUACCGUGAGGGAAAGUUGAAAAGUACUCUGAAGAGAGAGUAAACAGUACGUGAAGCCGCAUGCAGGUAAACGGGUGGCGUCAAGCUGCGUGCCCAGAGGAUUCAGCUGGCUAGGGUGUUGUGUAUGCGCCUGUCGCAUCAAUCAGUCGGUGUGAGGUGUGGUAGUCUACUGGCAAAUCAGUGGGCCCGGCCGCAAGGUUGGGAUUUGUGUACCGGGCGUAAACCGGAGCAAGCUACCUAUCCGUUGGACUGCCUAGUCAGUGCACUUUCUCUGUGGUGAACACCACGACCGGUGGAAUUGCCAGUCUGCUAUAGCCAAGUCCUAUUCAGUGGGUCCUCGUGAUCAACUGGGUGGGAUCACAGACAAACUCAGUUAACGGCGUAGGGGUGUUUCGGCAUCUCUGCGUGAUAUCGGCGACUGGUUGUCAACGGGUCUGCCUGAUGGUUGUUGCAAUCGUCAUUUGGUGGCUCGGUGGGUUAUGGUGGUUUAACAACUGUGCAAGGCACCGUAGUUCUCGACCUCAAUUGCAUCCUGCAUACAUAUUGCAAGUGGAGUGGGGUGACAUUGCAGCCUGCCAGAUGUUGGGUCUGAUUGUCGUGUUGCCUGCGAAAAGUGGGCCCGGCGAUGGCCUGGCGCUGGAUGGGUUGUGUAUGCUGCCCUGCGUGUAGGAUGUAGUGGGUCAAACAGUCUGUGGUGUAGUGGUAGACCAGCCACCCGGCCCGUCUUGAAACACGGACCAAGGAGUUUAACAUGUAUGCGAGUCAAGGGGUCCUACGAAACCCAAAGGCGCAAUGAAAGUAAACCUGCGACUUGUUCUCGCAGAAAGGUGAGAUCCUGCCGUUACUCGCAUCAGUUUGCUAGCAGCAGGCUAAGAGCGGUGGGCGCAUCACCGGCCCGUCCCAUGGUGUGGUUGCUGGAUGUCUGCGGUCGCUGCUUGCAGUGGCUGUGGUGCCGGUGCGUCACCGGGGCGGUGCUUGAGCAUACAUGUUGAGACCCGAAAGAUGGUGAACUAUGCUUGCGUUGGUUGAAGCCAGAGGAAACUCUGGUGGAGGACCGCAGCGAUUCUGACGUGCAAAUCGAUCGUCAAACGUGAGUAUAGGGGCGAAAGACUAAUCGAACCAUCUAGUAGCUGGUUCCCUCCGAAGUUUCCCUCAGGAUAGCUGGCACUCAUUCGCAUGAUCAGUUUUAUCCGGUAAAGCGAAUGAUUAGAGGUACUGGGCUUGAAACGAGCUCAACCUAUUCUCAAACUUUAAAUGGGUGAGAUGCCCGGCUCGCCUAAUAGGAGUCGGGCGUUGAAUGUGCGAGUGCCAAGUGGGCCAUUUUUGGUAAGCAGAACUGGCGCUGUGGGAUGAACCAAACGCCUGGUUAAGGUGCCUAACGCAGACGCUCAUGAGACACCACAAAAGGUGUUGGUUAAUAUAGACAGCAGGACGGUGGCCAUGGAAGUCGGCAUCCGCUAAGGAGUGUGUAACAACUCACCUGCCGAAUUGACCAGCCCUGAAAAUGGAUGGCGCUGGAGCGUCGGACCUAUACCGGGCCGUCAUUGCAAGCUGGGCUGCUGGCUUAUGUAUGUGUGAGCGGCGUAAUAUUCGCAUUCGCCGAANAGUCGUAGCCCAGGCAUGGAGUGCGAUGACGAGUAGGAGGGUCGCCGUGGUGAGCGUGGAAGCUUCGGGCGUGAGCCUGGGUGGAGCCGCCACGGGUGCAGAUCUUGGUGGUAGUAGCAAAUAUUCAAGUGAGAACCUUGAAGACCGAGGUGGAGAAGGGUUCCAUGGGAACAGCAGUUGACCAUGGGUCAGGCGGUCCUAAGCGAUCCGGUGACUCGGUACAGAGACGUGGGGUGCCUUCUAUGUGUGCUUAUGUAUUGUGUGCUGGCAGCCCCCCGGAGCGAAAGGGAAUCGGGUUAAUAUUCCCGACCCUGCCCACGGAGAUAGAUGACGUCUGGCUGGGCUGCGCAAGUGGUCUAUGUCUGGGCGUUGUCAAGCGCGGUAACGCAACCGAACUCGGAGACGUCGGCGAGAGUUCCGGGAAGAGUUUUCUUUUCUUUGUAAGGAUGGCUACCACCCCUGGAAUCGGGUUGUCCGGAGAUAGGGGUAUCGCCUCCGUAAAGCACCACCCCUCUUGUGGUGUCCGGAACGCUCUUGUCGGCCCUUGAAAAUCCGGGGGAGGCAUUAUUAUUUUCGUGGCAGGCCGUACCAAUAUCCGCAUCAGGUCUCCAAGGUGAACAGCCUCUGGCACUAGAAUAAUGUAGGUAAGGGAAGUCGGCAUAAUUGAUCCGUAACCUCGGAAAAAGGAUUGGCUCUGAGGGCUGGGUCAGACAGGCUGGGUAAAGAAACGUGUCCGCUCAGCCUACGGCUGGCUAGUCGGCUAACUGGACUGUGACCGCCCGGCGUUACGGCCGCAAGGCUGCNAGGCUGGGCUUGGUCUGGACCAUGUGGGCUGAUUGGCUGGAANUGGGC
rnacentral:rRNA from 1 species